UCUUAGAAUGUAUGCUUAAGAUUUAUGU
rnacentral:sRNA from 1 species